UAUAAAUCUAGUGGAAACAUUUCUGCACAAACUAGCUGAUGGGUACAGUGUGCGGAAAUGCUUCUGCUGUAUUUUUAGG
rnacentral:pre_miRNA from 1 species